GACGAACGCUGGCGGCGUGCUUAACACAUGCAAGUCGAACGGAAAGGCCCUGCUUUUGUGGGGUGCUCGAGUGGCGAACGGGUGAGUAACACGUGAGUAACCUGCCCUUGACUUUGGGAUAACUUCAGGAAACUGGGGCUAAUACCGGAUAGGAGCUCCUGCUGCAUGGUGGGGGUUGGAAAGUUUCGGCGGGUGGGGAUGGACUCGCGGCUGAUCGGCUUGUUGGUGGGGUAGUGGCUUACCAAGGCUUUGACGGGUAGCCGGCCUGAGAGGGUGACCGGCCACAUUGGGACUGAGAUACGGCCCAGACUCCUACGGGAGGCAGCAGUGGGGAAUAUUGCACAAUGGGCGGAAGCCUGAUGCAGCAACGCCGCGUGCGGGAUGACGGCCUUCGGGUUGUAAACCGCUUUCGCCUGUGACGAAGCGUGAGUGACGGUAAUGGGUAAAGAAGCACCGGCUAACUACGUG
rnacentral:rRNA from 1 species